rnacentral:misc_RNA from 1 species
GAACGAUUGUAUUAUUUGCUCAUGAUAAUCAAUCUUGAGCCAAUUCAAUUUUGAUACCACCAAUUCUAACCUGACCCUUGCCAAUCCUAGGCACCAAGGCCACCACCACAUUAUCAUCAUCUUCGGCGCCCAAAUCCUCCAAUAAAUCUGUAAUCCCUAAUCUCAAACAUGUCUUCAUUUUCUUCCCAUGUUUAUGUGCAUGUGGCACAUUCACAAAGCUUCCUGCAAACUCAGACUUGUUUGGUCCACUUGGUGAAUCAUGCUCAUCAUUUACAUACACAUCAAACUUCACCACUGCAUCUCUUUCAAACUCUAUCCCAUUUAUCACUAAAAUUUCCUCUUCCUCUUCUUUCUCUUUCUUGCUUCUUGAUUUCUUUGGCCUACUAACCAUAGUGCGUAUCACUUUAUCCAACUUUAAAGGGAAUGAAUUUGUUGGUGUCAAAUUCUGUGUUUCAGCUGCUUGAGCUACCUGGUCAUGGUGAUGAAAAACCUUAGCCAUUUUCUUGAUUAACCUUCUUGGUGUUGGCCUGGAUUUCAGCCAAGGAAUUUCAACUUCUUGAUAAGCAUAUCUUAGUUUUUUAUGGUCAAUACAGUCCCGAACCUUUACACGAACAAGAUUGGCAUUCUCGUCGUAUAAAAGAAACGCUGCAUCAAGCCAAUCAGGAUCAGUGAACUCAGUUCGCUUACCUCCUAAUGUUUUCCAUAUCGUCCACAUUCGAUCAACGUUGGAGUGAUGAGCGAAAAAUAUUGGAUCUCUUCCAGCUGAGUAGAAAUUUCCCAUGUUUUCUAGAUUUCGCUGGAAAUUAUCCCCAGUCCAGACGUGUAGUGGAUUAUGUGGGAUGUUCUCAAUAGAACCGGCUCCAGGGUCUGGUUCAUCGCCGGCACGGUAGGGACUCCCGAGAAAGAGCUUAGCAGUCUUGCCAUUCGAAAUCAUUUGCCUGUACAUUAUGGUAAGAUUGCUAGAAAUUGUUUCUUGUUCUGGUGUGGGGCCUUCGGUGGCAUUGUAGUCAAGAUCAACUAUUGUUGGCGGCUGGUGAUUCUUGUUGCGAUACUGGUCAUAAAGUGGUGAUUUAGGGUUAGCAUAUAGGGCUGGUAAUUGCAUUCCUUUGGGGGAAUCCCAGUUCCAAUAAGGCAAAGCGAAAGUUGGAUCAUCAAUCAGUUUUCCCAAGAUUUUUUCAUGGAAAUAGAGAUAGUAUCUAUGAAAGGGAAAGAAAAGCCACGAGUUAUGAACUUGAAUUUGUAAGUCUGGAAACCCCACUUGAUCAUAAGCGCCAUUACAAUAAGCACAGUGAACUUUGGCUUGUUGCAUAAAGCUACGAGGGUCAUCUUCAGGGAGGGCUUUCAUGAGCUUAACAGCUUUGGAGUACUUGGCUAUGUAAGCAUCAUCAGCCAAAUGAGCUGCAGGUCUAAUGCGCAAUGGAGACUGUGAAGAAGGAAGCUUAAAGUCUAAUAUCUUUGUGGAUGUUGGAGGGCAACAGUUGGUGGGGGGUUUGGCAUAGUUCGGCAAGUCUGCUUUGCCACAUUUGGUUGGUUCUGGGGUUGAGAUUGGCUUAGCAAAGGCAAACGGGUCACCAAGAGUGGUUGCACCACAGAAUCCUCCUAGACUAAUGAGUACAUCUCUCCUAGUGAUAGGGUUUUGGUGAUCAUCAUUUGUGGCUUUGCAAGAAAUUACCCUGGGAACAUAAGGAUGGUUUCGUUUUUUGGUAAUGGAAAGUUGAGAUGUGUUUGGGAAGGAUAGGCAGAACAAAGAGGAGUUAGAAAUAAUAAAGGGUGUAGCAUUGGUGUAAGGAAAGAAAGAACCCAUGCUUGGUUUAAGCGUUGAUGAUAGCAUUGGUCCAAC